GUUGAAACAUUAGUCCUCGUACGAUCUUCGAGGUUAAGCAACGUCGAGUCUGGCUAGUACUAGAUGAGUGGCCGCUUGGGAAUAUCAGGUGCUGUAA